rnacentral:misc_RNA from 1 species
AAGUCGUAACAAGGUUUCCGUAGGUGAACCUGCGGAAGGAUCAUUAACACGUAUCCAAACGUUAAAACCCCCCCCGUGAACCUUCAUCCUGCUCUUGUAACCCGCGUAGUUCGCAAUCUCUGAUAAAUCAUAGCCCGGAAAGUUGUAGUGAUUCAGAGACCUCUGGCUACGUGCGAACAUUGGAACAGUUACAAUCGAGCGGUAGUUCUAUAGGCAAUGUUUCUCCAAGCAGUCAGUGUCGGAAAGUGUCAUUGAUUGUGCAAGGAUAGCGCUUCUACGAUUCCUGUAGACCGUACACUGGCAGGAGCUUUGCCAAAGGGUCCCCAUGCCCCCUAAUAACCCCACAGUUUAAUGU